rnacentral:misc_RNA from 1 species
CUGCUCCUCAAAUUAAGCGCAUUCUCAGAGUGGCUUCAACGGAGCAAGAGGUAUACGAAGCCGUUAUGCUGGCCAAGAGACUAGGUCCUGAUGUACGAGAAGGAAAGCGAAGGCAAUUCAGUUACAUAGGUAGAUUAUUGCGAGAAGUUAAGCCUGAAUUGAUGGAUGGUUUAAUUCAGGCAACAAAAGAUGGAGACCAAACUAAAUUUCAGGCUUUAUCUGGUUCGGAACUUUCGGCUACCGAAGAUGUUGAUGAGGAAGUUGAAGAGACUGAAUAUGAGGAUGACGAAGAGAG